GGACGAACGCUGGCGGCGUGCUUAACACAUGCAAGUCGAACGGAAAGGCCCUGCUUUUGUGGGGUGCUCGAGUGGCGAACGGGUGAGUAACACGUGAGUAACCUGCCCUUGACUUUGGGAUAACUUCAGGAAACUGGGGCUAAUACCGGAUAGGAGCUCCUGCUGCAUGGUGGGGGUUGGAAAGUUUCGGCGGUUGGGGAUGGGCUCGCGGCUUAUCAGCUUGUUGGUGGGGUAGUGGCUUACCAAGGCUUUGACGGGUAGCCGGCCUGAGAGGGUGACCGGCCACAUUGGGACUGAGAUACGGCCCAGACUCCUACGGGAGGCAGCAGUGGGGAAUAUUGCACAAUGGGCGGAAGCCUGAUGCAGCAACGCCGCGUGCGGGAUGACGGCCUUCGGGUUGUAAACCGCUUUCGCCUGUGACGAAGCGUGGGUGACGGUAAUGGGUAAAGAAGCACCGGCUAACUACGUG
rnacentral:rRNA from 1 species